AAAUUGAAGAGUUUGAUCAUGGCUCAGAUUGAACGCUGGCGGCAGGCCUAACACAUGCAAGUCGAACGGUAACAGAAAGCAGCUUGCUGCUUUGCUGACGAGUGGCGGACGGGUGAGUAAUGUCUGGGAAACUGCCUGAUGGAGGGGGAUAACUACUGGAAACGGUAGCUAAUACCGCAUAAUGUCGCAAGACCAAAGAGGGGGACCUUCGGGCCUCUUGCCAUCGGAUGUGCCCAGAUGGGAUUAGCUAGUAGGUGGGGUAACGGCUCACCUAGGCGACGAUCCCUAGCUGGUCUGAGAGGAUGACCAGCCACACUGGAACUGAGACACGGUCCAGACUCCUACGGGAGGCAGCAGUGGGGAAUAUUGCACAAUGGGCGCAAGCCUGAUGCAGCCAUGCCGCGUGUAUGAAGAAGGCCUUCGGGUUGUAAAGUACUUUCAGCGGGGAGGAAGGGAGUAAAGUUAAUACCUUUGCUCAUUGACG
rnacentral:rRNA from 1 species